rnacentral:rRNA from 2 species
CCUAUACAUGCUAGUCGAGCGAAUCGAUGGGAGCUUGCUCCCUGAGAUUAGCGGCGGACGGGUGAGUAACACGUGGGCAACCUGCCUAUAAGACUGGGAUAACUUCGGGAAACCGGAGCUAAUACCGGAUACGUUCUUUUCUCGCAUGAGAGAAGAUGGAAAGACGGUUUACGCUGUCACUUAUAGAUGGGCCCGCGGCGCAUUAGCUAGUUGGUGAGGUAAUGGCUCACCAAGGCGACGAUGCGUAGCCGACCUGAGAGGGUGAUCGGCCACACUGGGACUGAGACACGGCCCAGACUCCUACGGGAGGCAGCAGUAGGGAAUCUUCCGCAAUGGACGAAAGUCUGACGGAGCAACGCCGCGUGAACGAAGAAGGCCUUCGGGUCGUAAAGUUCUGUUGUUAGGGAAGAACAAGUACCAGAGUAACUGCUGGUACCUUGACGGUACCUAACCAGAAAGCCACGGCUAACUACGUGCCAGCAGCCGCGGUAAUACGUAGGUGGCAAGCGUUGUCCGGAAUUAUUGGGCGUAAAGCGCGCGCAGGUGGUUCCUUAAGUCUGAUGUGAAAGCCCACGGCUCAACCGUGGAGGGUCAUUGGAAACUGGGGAACUUGAGUGCAGAAGAGGAAAGUGGAAUUCCAAGUGUAGCGGUGAAAUGCGUAGAGAUUUGGAGGAACACCAGUGGCGAAGGCGACUUUCUGGUCUGUAACUGACACUGAGGCGCGAAAGCGUGGGGAGCAACGGGAUUAGAUACCUGGGUAGUCCACGCCGUAACGAUGAGUGCUAAGUGUUAGAGGGUUUCCGCCCCUUUAGUGCUGCAGC